UACGGAGGAUGCAAGCGUUAUCCGGAUUCAUUGGGUUUAAAGGGUGCGUAGGCGGACUAUUAAGUCAGUGGUGAAAGCCUGCAGCUUAACUGCAGAACUGCCAUUGAUACUGAUAGUCUUGAGUUUGGUUAAGGUAGGCGGAAUGUGUAAUGUAGCGGUGAAAUGCAUAGAUAUCACGAGGAACUCCGAUUGCGCAGGCAGCUUACUAAACUACUACUGACGCUCAGGCACGAAGGCGUGGGGAUCAAACAGGA
rnacentral:rRNA from 1 species